ACCGUCACGUGACCUGGCGAGGCGGCGACCAUGGCCGUCCCUCUUUCCCCCACGCUGGUGCUGGGCGAGGCCUCGGAGAGCGACUCAGAGCCGGAGCCGGGGGGGAACACAGCCGGGACUCCCGCAGUGGGGCUGAAGGUUCCGGGGGAGGCGUCGGAGACCGAGGAGGAGGAGGAAGAGGACAGUGCGGCCCGGAUGCCGCUGCCAGGGGUGUCCAGGGGGGGCCCCUCACUGCUGCAGCAGCGGCUGGGGGCGGGCGAGGGGCGACUGCGGGGCGCAAUGGCUGAGGCACUGGGACGCAGUUUCAGUGGGGCUGCGCGGCUGCUGGAAGGUCUGGGGGGGCCCCUGGGCCACGCCCAAGCUGGGGCAGCUGCGACCGCGCACUGCCUGUGCCUGGUGCGCCGUGACCUGCGCGCUGUGGCUGCCACCGUAGCCACCAUCACCGCCUGUCACCUGCUGCCUGACAUCCGUGGGGAGCUGUGAGAGUGGGAAUGUCUUUGGGGGGGGGGGGGGGCAGUGCUGGCAGCUGUGGGGAGCUCCUGGCGUUGUUGUUGCAGUGUCACUGACACUGACCUUCAGCACUGUGUCCAAUGGACUCGAGGGUUGUGGUUGUCACUGAUGACAUUCUCAUUGUCACUGCAUUACCAGUGCUGUGUCCCCUUGAGCUGAUGCUGCCAUCAACAGCACUGCCGCUGAUCGCUCAGUGUCCCAGCGAUGUCCCUGUGUCACCUGGCCUGUGGGGACCUUGGCCUCACAGUGACGUUGUCAGUGAAUGGAAGCUCCUGACGAUUGAUUGAUGCAGAAUUCUGUAGUUUUGCCCUGUAUAGGGGAUCUGUGGGUUCUGGCACUGACUAAAGCCCUUUGGAGACAUAGCUGCAGCAAGGACACAGCUUUCACUAGGUGGGUGGCAGUGUGUUCACCCACGGCACUGUGGUCCCAGUGGUCUGAGCAAGGUCCCUUUUGUUGCCCCCCAUGUCCUUGGGCUGUGGUUGUGUCCUGUGCGUCCCUUCCUGCCAUAUGAAUGUCUCCAGCAUCUGGCCACUGUCCCCAAGCUGUGGCUAUGUCCUGUCACCCUAAGUGCCCCUUGGCCUUGUCCUUAGCUCUCUCCUACCUCUGUGUACCCCUCUGAGAACUUCAGCCAGGGACAGGGAGAAGUACAUACGAAUCUCACACCACGGAGCCACAUGGGUCUGUCACGCUGCAUCCUGCCUGGGCUGUCACGUCCUGUGGGACACCAGGGGAUACACCCUGGGUGCUAGUGGGCUUGUGGCACCAAAAUGCCCGGGGCCUGAUGAGGGUCCUGGGGGCUCCUGGCGUCUCCAGAAGGGUCCCAACUGUCCCCAGGGACUGACCUGAGGGGUAGUGGAAAACCAGGAUGAAGGUUCACUUUCCCCAUUCCCCUGUGUUGUGGCAAAGGGGAAAGGUUUUGUGAAGAGCACAGUGGUGUUGGAUUCUGUUCAUAAAGAUUCUAGACCUCAGUUCCCUUCCCGUAUCCAAAUUAGAAUGAAAGAUAGUAUUAACAAUUCAUCUUCUGAGGAAGAACCUCUGAGCACUUGUAACUGGCAGUGCUUUGAUAUUCUAGGUAACCUGUUCCAUAAGGAGUGCUGGGUGAUGCUGACUGAUACUGUCAAUUGUGAGCAUGCUCCACAGAAAGUUUCCCUCUGUGGGAGUGAGGAAACAAAAUGUGGUGAUUCAGUACUGUGGGGUUAUUAUGAGGUUACUAGAGUCUAGGAUUCUAGAGUCUGAGGAUUCUAUGAAUUGAUUAUUGGAGGAUUCUAUGAGGAUGCUAUGAGGAUACCAGCUCCUGUGAUUAUAAGUUCUGUUAUUUCAGAUUCUGUGAUCGUUUCAUGAUUCUAGAUUCCUUGACUCUGUGAUGAUUCUGGGCUUCAGUUGUGUGGUGAUUCUGAUUCCUCACUAAGAGUAUAGAUUCCCAGACUUGUAGCUACGCAAUACGAUGCGUUUCCAUCUCCACUCCUGUGCAUAGUGUGUGGCAUAGUUCUGAGUGCCUGACACAGCCCAAGCAAAAUCAAUUUCUGUAGGUUAUUACUAAAUAAAUAAAUAAAU
rnacentral:lncRNA from 1 species